GAUGAACGCUGGCGGCGUGCCUAAUACAUGCAAGUCGAGCGAACGGACGAGAAGCUUGCUUCUCUGAUGUUAGCGGCGGACGGGUGAGUAACACGUGGAUAACCUACCUAUAAGACUGGGAUAACUUCGGGAAACCGGAGCUAAUACCGGAUAAUAUUUUGAACCGCAUGGUUCAAAAGUGAAAGACGGUCUUGCUGUCACUUAUAGAUGGAUCCGCGCUGCAUUAGCUAGUUGGUAAGGUAACGGCUUACCAAGGCAACGAUGCAUAGCCGACCUGAGAGGGUGAUCGGCCACACUGGGACUGAGACACGGUCCAGACUCCUACAGGAGGCAGCAGUAGGGAAUCUUGCGCAAUGGGCGAGAGCCUGACGGAGCAACGCCGCGUGAGUGAUGAAGGUCUUCGGAUCGUAAAACUCUGUUAUUAGGGAAGAACAUAUGUGUAAGUAACUGUGCACAUCGUGACGGUACCUAGUCAGAAAGCCACGGCUAACUACGUG
rnacentral:rRNA from 1 species